CCUACGGGAGGCAGCAGUGAGGAAUAUUGGUCAAUGGGCGCGAGCCUGAACCAGCCAAGUAGCGUGAAGGAUGACUGCCCUCCGGGUUGUAAACUUCUUUUAUAGAGGAAUAAAGUGCGGCACGUGUGCCUUUUUGUAUGUACUUUAUGAAUACGGAUCGGCUAACUCCGUGCCAGCAGCCGCGGUCAUACGGAGGUUCCGAGCGUUAUCCGGAUUUAUUGGGUUUAAAGGGAGCGUAGAUGGGUUGUUAAGUCAGUUGUGAAAGUUUGCGGCUCAACCGUAAAAUUGCAAUUGAUACUGGCAGGCUUGAGUACAGUAGAGGUAGGCGGAAUUCGUGGUGUAGCGGUGAAAUGCGUAGAGAUCACGAAGAACUCCGAUUGCGAAGGCAGCUUACUAAACUGUCACUGACACUGAUGCUCGAAAGUGUGGGUAUCAAACAGGAUUAGAUACCCCGGUAGUC
rnacentral:rRNA from 1 species